UGUUUCCAUGUAUCUGUAACCUGGACCUCAAAGAGAGUUUAGUUGAAAUAUUUUCUGUGUGUUUUGUACGGGUGAUAGCAUUAAAUCCUCCUGAAUCCUCUUGUUUCAGGCUCCUGUAUAUAUUUUCAGUUGUGUGGAAGAAAGGACAGCGCAAAGACCCUAUGCCUAAUCCUAAAACCAGCCUUGGGGGAUUCUCCUCUUCAGAGAAAUCUGUUCCGGUACCAGUGCACGGCACCUAGAGCCCCGAUGAAGUACAUACUGGUGACGGGAGGGAUCAUCUCUGGAGUGGGCAAAGGGAUCAUUGCAAGUAGCGUCGGUACCAUCCUGAAGCCCUGCGCCUGCGAGUGACUGCUAAUAAGAUCAACCCCUGUAUUAAUAUCAAUGCUGAACUUUCCCUCCCUAUGAGCAUGG